CCGCUGCGCUGGGGCUCGGUGGCUCUCGCCUGGGCCAAGCUGAGCACCCGCGGGGCGACCAGCCGAGGCGCAGAGGCGUUUUCCCCCGGAGGUGGUGCGUGCUGCGGCGACACAAAGGUCCUUGAAAGACCUCACCGCUCCCUUCCUGGCUGCCCGCCCAGGCGACCAGGCCGGGUCUGAGGGCGGCCCCCCGGAGCGUCCCCCGGACCUCGCGAGCUGGAGGGGGCGCUGGGCCCCUGGCCGGCUCGCGGGACUCCGCGGACGCGCGGGGACUCUGGCUCGGUGGGCUCCUUUUGUGAAUGCAAGGAAGGGCCCUCCCCGGCCUCGGGAAACGGUCAGCUCGGCUCCCCGGGACUGCGUGCCCCGAAUGACAAAUUGGCUCUUUCGGGUCGCAGGCUGGGUCCCACCCUGGGGAGAGCUGAGCUGCCUGGGCGGGUCUUGUGGGGUUAUCUAAAACAUCCCCGUGGCCAGCUGCAUCAGAGUCACCGGGGUCUGUGCCUGAAAGAGACAUUGCAGGGCCCCGCCCCAUCGCCGGAGGGCCCGGGGGAUCUGUGUUUUGGGAAAACAGAACCAUCUGAUAAAGCAAGUGUCCUGUGAGCAAGAGCUGUUUGAUGCAUCAGCAGGCCUAGAAGUCCAUGCAUUUAAAACGAUUACUUUGAGCCCAAAUGCAUCGCUUUGGGAUGGUGGCAUCCAGUGUUCAGACCAGCAUGUCUGAAGCUAUCGGCUCAGGGACCCAGGCACAUGCAAGUGACCUUGUAAGUUCCUUCUUGAUGGAGAGGAACUAGGAGGAUGCACCGGGGACAAACUGCCUUGAGGAUUUGAGAAGAGAUCUUCUGUGUAUAAUGGAGCCCCCUGAGGCAGGGGACAAUGGCCGGCGAACAUUGAACCUUGAGUUUCCCUCUGAACUUGAGCUGUGACCUGAAGUCGGUGACAGUGACAAGUCUAUUGGAACUUCAUCUCUCAGAGCAAAAUGCAUUAAUGAUCCAGGAGUGUAAUAAGAUGAAUUCAUGGAGGAUCUCGAAGCUGUUGGUCUAGCAGAAAGGGAAGCUGAGCCCAAAGCAAGUGGUGGCGCUGUCCAGUCUUCCUGCUGCCCUGCAUACCACACCUCCUGGUAUUGUUCAUGGCAUUGUUCUGGCCCCUCUCCUGUCAUCUGCCUUCUGGAAGCCUGAUGUUCCCCUCUCCUUGACUCCUCUGGGCUGCGUGCCUUGCCAGUGGCGACUUACCAUAUGAGAGCCCAGCAGUGAAUGAAGGACCAAGUGAAUGAGUGAUGAGUGGAAAAUCCAAUUUGCCCUGGUAUCAUGCACCCUGGGAUGGGGAACUGGAGGUGGGGAGCAGCUGAGUGGACCUGUUAACCUCCCCAUAGAUAGCUUGGACCGUUGUUGGACACCAGUUCGACUUGCUGGGAAACCCAUUCAUCUUGGCCUUUCAGAGAAAAUCUUCAAUAGAAUUUAUUUGCAAGGCAAAUUAUGAAGAUUUCAGGAUUUGCCCUCAAAUUCCUCUCCCAGGCUGCUCUUUAAAUAUUUCCCAAUCCAAAAGAGACCGCAGUUAUUUUAGAUUUCUAUCUUUUAAAACCCGAAUUCACCACUCUCGCUUAGUUUUACAAGAACAUGUCUUCAAGAUAAGCUACAGUGAGGCAGGAUAGGUCUCUCACUCGGCCUGCAAAUCUGAAUCUGGUUAAUGACUGACAUUGAACUCAAUAAUCAGUGAGGAUGAUUUCAGAACACUUGGCUUUGUUUUAAAGGGCAAGAUUUUGGAAGCAGCCUCCCAGGACUCCAUCCAGAUCCAGUUUCCUGAAACAUAACUGGGGGUUUCUGCCCAGGCUCCAGGUGAGAGCAGAGAGCAGGAGAGGGCACACUGGCUUCCCAUGUGCCUGGCCCUGGGGUCAAGAGCACUGCAGGACUCCAGGAGCCAGAACCCCACAGCACAACGGCCUUUGGAUGCCUCUUCCUGUCCUGGAAGGGAAAGAGGAGGCCCCUUUCCAACCCAGGUUGAGGCUGGCAAAGGUCUUCAGAGCAGGAGGGAGUUGGAGACCACCAUAGCCUCCCGAUCAUCCCUGUACCCCUGCAUUUGCUGAGCCUGCUGACGGCUCUGCAGCUCGCCAGCCCACAUAGAAGCCUGAAAUACAUGCAACUCUGCGAGGCGUAUUUCUCACCCACACCAGUGUUCACUGUGGUUGUGAAGGAUCCUGCGUCAGCUACACAUCAGACCCAAGUGGGUCUUGACACACUGCCUGAAUUUUCCAUGUCCUCUUUGGAGACAAAGCAUAUCUUUGGCUUGGUGAAUAACUCCUGAUUAUUGGUCUUUUUCCAUUUUGUGUUAUGCUUUGGAAACUCAAAAAGUGUAGUCAAAGUAUGUGUACCUGCAUUUAUGUCAGAGAUUUUAAAAAAAUACACCUCUGAUUUUUGUGAAGAGAAAAAAAUAGGGGGGUGGGGUGGGGAUAAGCUUUAGACAAGGAAAAUAAUGUUUUUCUGUACCAAGUGCUGCUUUCACAUGGGAGGUAUCAUAAUGCUAUAAUUUAUGUAGUGGUUACAGUGUUGUGUGCUAUUCUAAUGGCUUAGUGUGCUUAUCAUAUCACUGACUCUUCCUGGCAAUCCCAGCAGAUGGGAUCUCUUUUUAUCCCUUCUCCAUUUCACAGAUGAUGAAACUGAGGCACUGAGAAAUUACUUGCCAAAAGGUACACAGCAAACAUGACAUGGGGACCAGAAGGUAUCCAAGUAUUUAAGAAAAAAUACUGAAGAUUGAACUCCAAGCCCUUUUAAAUUUUUUGAAUACAUACACAUAUAUGAUUUUUUUGCCAUUUUUUUACUAGUACAUUAUAGUUGUAUGUAAUAGUGAGAUUUGUUGUUAACAUAUUUGUACGUGCACACAAUAAAAUAAUCUAAUUUGGCCAAUAUCAUUCCCCAGUAUUAACACUUUCCUUCCCCUUCUGCCUCCCUCUGGUCCCUUUCCUCUACUCCACUGAUCUCCCUUCACUUUGCAUGAGAUCUGCCCCUUUCUUUUUCCUUUCUAGCCCCCACAUCUGAGAGAAAACACAGGACCUUUGACUUUCUGAGUUUGGCUCAUUUCACUUAACAUAAUGUUCUCAAGUUGCAUCCAUUUUCCUGUAUAUGACAUAGUUUUCAUUUUUCUUUGUGGCUGAAUAAAACUUCAUUGUGUAUAUAUACCA